rnacentral:rRNA from 1 species
GACGUAGGGUGCGAGCGUUGUCCGGAUUUAUUGGGCGUAAAGAGCUCGUAGGCGGCUCGUCGCGUCGACCGUGAAAACCCGCGGCUUAACUGCGGGCUUGCGGUUGAUACGGGCGGGCUAGAGUUCGGUAGGGGAGACUGGAAUUCCUGGUGUAGCGGUGAAAUGCGUAGAUAUUCGGAGGAACACCAGUGGCGAAGGCGGCUCACUGGCUCGGUACUGACGCUGAGGAGCGAAAGCGUGGGUAGCAAACAGG